rnacentral:lncRNA from 1 species
AAGUUCGGAUGUCUCCGAAGUUGCUGACGAGUCUACUGUUGUCAGGUGGCUUAGGCGCUGAUACUACGGGUGGGAGUCACCUGCUACAGAAGCUCGGAUAGAAACUUUCCGUCGGCGAAGCCCGGCAGGAAUCUGAUUGUUAGAGAAGUCCGUCUGGGAUUCACCCGAUGUGAAAACUUGCCUGAAGAUGAUCCAUUGGGGAAGUUCGAUUUUAUGAAGGAUUUGGUGGAGGGUCGGCCGGUGAUGGACUUCGGAUGGCGUUGGGGAGGUUCGGCAGACAUCGGAGGCGAUCGGUUGUUGUAGGAAUCCAGCUACCGGAGCCCGAUCAUCGUAGAAGCUCAUCCAAUAUCCAACCGCUAUAGAAGUUCAGUCGAAGUCUGGUUCUUGUAGAAGGCUAAAAGGAGAUCUCUUAUUGUGGAAGCUCGGUCGAAGAUCAGUUGUCGUGGGAUCCGACUACGAAGAAACUCGGCUGAAGUCUACCUGUAAUGGAAGUUCGGAAAGAAUAUGUUUACAGUGGAGGCUCGGAUGGGAUUUGCUUACAGUAGGGAUCCGAGGUAGGUUGUCCGCUGUAAGGAUUCAGAGUAGACUGCUCGCAGCAGGAGUUCGGGGCAGACCACUCAUAGUGGAAGUUCAGAGCAAGCCGCUCGCGGUAGAAGUUCGGCUAUCGCAAGAGCUCGGCUGGAAUCCUAAAGGCGGUCGACCGUCGUAGAAACAUGGAAAGAGCCUAGUUGCUGUAGAAAUCUCAUUGUUGGGGAAGCUUGGAUGCUGACAAAGAUCGAAAGAAGUUUGGGGGUAGUCGAUUGCUAUAGAAGGAUAGCUAACAGCGAAGCUCAGAGGGCCUUUGGGGUGGCCCGAUGGGUGAACACCGAGGUCCAUCGUCGAAGAAGUCCGGACGGUCGAGGG